rnacentral:piRNA from 1 species
GAGUAAUACUGAAGGAAUAUAGAAUG